AGAGUUUGAUCAUGGCUCAGGAUGAACGCUAGCGGCAGGCCUAACACAUGCAAGUCGAGGGGCAGCACGGAUUGCUUGCAAUCCGGUGGCGACCGGCGCACGGGUGCGGAACGCGUAUGGAACCUGCCCCUGUCAGGGGAAUAGCCCAGAGAAAUUUGGAUUAAUGCCCCAUGGUAACAUUUUGUUGCAUGACAAGAUGUUUAAAGAUUUAUCGGACAGGGAUGGCCAUGCGUACCAUUAGCUAGUUGGUAAGGUAACGGCUUACCAAGGCAACGAUGGUUAGGGGCCCUGAGAGGGGGAUCCCCCACACUGGUACUGAGACACGGACCAGACUCCUACGGGAGGCAGCAGUGAGGAAUAUUGGACAAUGGCCGGAAGGUUGAUCCAGCCAUGCCGCGUGCAGGAUGACUGCCCUAUGGGUUGUAAACUGCUUUUACACGGGAAGAAACCUCCCCUCGUGAGGGGAGCUGACGGUACCGUGAGAAUAAGGACCGGCUAACUCCGUGCCAGCAGCCGCGGUAAUACGGAGGGUCCGAGCGUUAUCCGGAAUCAUUG
rnacentral:rRNA from 1 species